rnacentral:rRNA from 1 species
UACAGAGGGGGCAAGCGUUAUUCGGAAUUAUUGGGCGUAAAGGGCGCGUAGGCGGCCUGGCAAGUGGAAGGUGAAAUCCCUCGGCUUAACCGAGGAACUGCCCUCCAAACUGCUUGGCUUGAGACCGGGAGAGGUGAGUGGAAUUCCCAGUGUAGCGGUGAAAUGCGUAGAUAUUGGGAGGAACACCAGUGGCGAAGGCGGCUCACUGGACCGGUACUGACGCUGAGGCGCGAAGGCCAGGGGAGCAAACGGG